UACGUGGGGGGCAAGCGUUGUUCGGAAUUACUGGGCGUAAAGGGCUCGUAGGUGGCCAACUAAGUCAGACGUGAAAUCCCUCGGCUUAACCGGGGAACUGCGUCUGAUACUGGAUGGCUUGAGUUUGGGAGAGGGAUGCGGAAUUCCAGGUGUAGCGGUGAAAUGCGUAGAUAUCUGGAGGAACACCGGUGGCGAAGGCGGCAUCCUGGACCAACACUGACACUGAGGAGCGAAAGCCAGGGGAGCAAACGGG
rnacentral:rRNA from 1 species